rnacentral:rRNA from 1 species
UUCAAACUUGCCGGUGAGAAGAGGUUAUUUGAUAUUAGCUCACUUGAUGAAUGGAGAACCCAAGCAUAUGAGAAUGCCAAGCUAUUCAAAGAAAAAGUCAAACGCUGGCAUGAUAAGAGGAUACAAAAGCGUGAGUUUAACGCAGGCGAUUAUGUAUUAUUAUUCAACUCCAGUUUAAGAUUUUUUGCAGGAAAACUUCUCUCAAAAUGGGAAGGUCCUUACGUUAUCGAGGAGGUCUAUCGUUCUGGUGCCAUAAAAAAUCAACAACUUCGAAGGCACAAAUCCGAGGGUGGUAAACGGUCAAAGAAUUAA